GGAUUAGAUACCCUGGUAGUCCAUGCCGUAAACGUUGGGCGCUAGGUGUGGGACUCAUUCCACGAGUUCCGUGCCGCAGCUAACGCAUUAAGCGCCCCGCCUGGGGAGUACGGCCGCAAGGCUAAAACUCAAAGGAAUUGACGGGGGCCCGCACAAGCGGCGGAGCAUGCGGAUUAAUUCGAUGCAACGCGAAGAACCUUACCAAGGCUUGACAUACACCGGAAUCAUGCAGAGAUGUGUGCGUCUUCGGACUGGUGUACAGGUGGUGCAUGGUUGUCGUCAGCUCGUGCCG
rnacentral:rRNA from 1 species